UGGUAUCAUGUGCUGCACUCUAC
rnacentral:piRNA from 1 species